UACGUAGGGUGCAAGCGUUGUCCGGAAUUAUUGGGCGUAAAGAGCUCGUAGGCGGUCUGUCGCGUCGGCUGUGAAAUCCCGAGGCUCAACCUCGGGUCUGCAGUCGAUACGAGCAAACUAGAGUGUUGCAGGGGAGACUGGAAUUCCUGGUGUAGCGGUGAAAUGCGCAGAUAUCAGGAGGAACACCGGUGGCGAAAGCGGGUCUCUGGGCAACAACUGACGCUGAGGAGCGAAAGCGUGGGGAGCGAACAGG
rnacentral:rRNA from 1 species